GGUGGGUUGGCCCAAUGGUAAGGCACCCCGCUCGAAACGGGGCGGGAGAAAUCCCUUGCAGGUUCGAGUCCUGCACCCACCG
rnacentral:tRNA from 1 species